ensembl:lncRNA GAS6-AS1 GAS6 antisense RNA 1
GGCUGUACCUGGGUGCUGUGUCCGCGGGGCGUCUGGAGACGUCGAUGUGGUCAUAGCAGGGCCUGGAACGGGGAGGUCUGGCCUGAACUAGAGAAAUGAGGGGCGUAUCCGCUUCUCCACCCUGGCCUCAGAUGAAGAGGCUCUGGGGGCAGGAGGGAGUCAGACACGUGCAGGGCAGGCGGCCUGUGCAGGGCCCAACCCUCCGGCACCAGAACCUGACCUCCUCAGAGGCCCCCACCAUGGAGGGAUGUCUGGGGGAUGCUGUGCGCUGCCGCUACGAUGUUUGGUUAGAGAUUAAAGCCAUUUCAGAAGUGGACACCUGCCCAUGUGAUGCAAAGGGCUGGGAACCCGGUCUUGACUUUGCCUGGAAUGCCUUUCGGAAAGACCUCUGUCCCUGAGGCUGAGGGACAGUGCCUGCUCCUGCCAGGUGCCCAGCUCUUAAGCGGUCCCCAGACUCAUGCCACCUGCCCCGGGGCCUCCCCCAACUCAUUUGUUUAUUUCCCUGUUGGGAAUGUAUUGAUACCUCUAGGAUGCAAGGACGGAACCACACCUGAGGGGUGGACAGUCAGCCGGUGCCCAGCAAAUAUCUGUGGAAUUUCCUCCACACAACAGGGAAAGCGAUGGAGACAGAAACCUCUGCAGGCCCCCGAGGGCACCCACUUCCCUGACCCCGUCCACCUCCCUGACCCCCGCCCACCUCCCUGAUCCCCAUCCCGCAAGCUGGGCCUAGGGUAUCGGUGGCCUGGCUGGUCAUGCCCUGGGCGCCAGCGCCUGUUCAGGAGGUGAAGGGUUUAUCUCAGCUUGGCCCAUGACUGCGUUGAAGGACAGGAGGGAGCGGCUGUGGCUGUGGCUGGAAUCUGAAGCCGGUGCGGGCGGCCAGGGCCUUUCCCUGGGUGGUGACGAGCGAGGACCAGAGCCCUGUCUGCCCGAGGGAAGGGCGAGGGGACACUCCCCGUGGCGGGGGUGGGAUCCCGGUAGCCGGGGCUCAGUGACCGCUGCCUGGGCCACCGCCUGUGGGGACCUGACCUUCCUGGGGAAACCCAUGGGUCAAAGGAGCCGAGAAAUCCAAGCACCAAGUGGCCGCUAUGGCAGGACGGGCGCGUUCGCAGUGGAGAAGCUGGGUGUGUCCGUGGGAAAGGAAAGAAAUGGAAGCAGAGGCUCUUCAGGGGCACCUGGGAACGCAGCCUACACUCUUCCCAGGCCUCCUCCCUCCGUCCACUGUGCCGCCUGGGUCCUGGGACAGCCUGAGGGCCGCAGGCUCCCAUGCAAGGCCCGCUGGGGGCCUGCUUGUCUGGGGCUGAAUUUGGACUUUAUGGGGCUAUGGCUUUAAUUUCACAAUGACCGAUAACCAGUGAACUGAAGCCAGGACAGCACCGUGAGCACCAAGUCAGAGAAUUUUCACGAGGGAACCAAUGAACAGGAACAGAGUGUGAGGCUGCCCCAGCUGCAUCCUCCGGGAGGCGCCUUCCCAAGGGAGUGCAAGGCUGCCUGCUGUGGCCAGGCCACCAAAGCACCUUCUUCACCGCCAGGCAUCUUUUGAGGCACGCGAACAUCAGAGGCCCCAGCCACGUGCUCUGGAGGAGAAGCUGAGAGCCCCAGGCCACAGGCAGGGCAGCCUCUGAGGGCCGGCUCAGGGAGAGUGGCCGGAGCUUCUGGCCUGGGGCAGGUGGACCCGUUAGAAACUGCAUGUGUUGCCUCUGGCACCAGCCACAGCAAGAGAUUCUCUUCCUAUCACACAGGGAACAAACUCAAGGAUCUUGACCUUGCCCUCCUCUCCCCAGCUGGCCGCACUUGGGGACGCUGAUGCCACAAAGGAA